rnacentral:rRNA from 1 species
AGGGGCAGCAUAAUGGAUAGCAAUAUCUAUGGUGGCGACCGGCGCACGGGUGCGUAACGCGUAUGCAACCUACCUUUAACAGGGGGAUAACACUGAGAAAUUGGUACUAAUACCCCAUAACAUCAGGACCGGCAUCGGUUUUGGUUGAAAACUCCGGUGGUUAUGGAUGGACCUGCGUUGUAUUAGCUAGUUGGUGGGGUAACGGCUCACCAAGGCGACGAUACAUAGCCGACCUGAGAGGGUGAUCGGCCACACUGGGACUGAGACACGGCCCAAACUCC